UUAAUUGAAGCCAAAAAGAGGCCUAUCACUGUUAAUGAUAAUACUGAAUUAUUUUUAAAAUUCCAAUUAAG
rnacentral:tRNA from 1 species